CACAGCAGCGGCAGCGGAGCUAGAGCAGAGCGGAGCCACCACGGGGGCCCGGCUGAGCACGUUGGGCCACGUGGUCCUCUCCCCAGUCUGGUUCCUGUACAGCCUGCUCAUGAAGCUGUUCCAAAGCUCCACUCCAGCCAUCACCCUCGAGAACCUGGACAUGAAGUACCUGCUGCGGCUGAUUGACAAGGAGGCCAUCAGCCUUGACACCUGAUGGUUCCACUUUGCUCUACCAUCGCCCCAGCACAUCCUGGGCCUCCCCAUAGGGCUAGCACAUCUACCUCUUGGCUUGAAUCGAUGGGAACCUGGUCAUUCUGCCCUACAUGCCUGUCUCCAGCGAUGACAAGGGCUUUGUGGACCUGGUCAUCAAGGUUUACUUCAAAGACACCCACCCCAAGUUUCCCGCUGGUGGGGUGUCCCAGAUGUCCCAGUACCUGUAAAGCAUGAAGAUUGGAGGCACCAUUGAGUUCCGAGACCCAAAUGGGCUGCUGGUCUACCAGGGCAAAGGAAAGUUUGCCAUCUGUGCAGACAAGAAAUCCAACCCUGUCAUCAAGACGGUGAAGUCUGUGGGCAUGUUUGCGGGAGGAACGGGCAUCACCCCAAUGCUACAGGUGAUCCGCGCCAUCAUGAAGGACAGGGAUGAUCACACCGUGUGCCACCUGCGCUUUGCCAACCAGACUGAGAAGGACCUCCUGCUGCGGCCGGAGCUGGAGGAACUGAAGAACGAACAUUCUGAGUGCUUCAAGCUCUGGUACAUGGUGGACAGUGCCCCUGAAGCUUGGGACUACAGCCAGGGCUUCGUGAACGAGGAGAUGAUCUGGGACCACCUUCCACCCCUGGAGGAGGAGCCGCUGGUGCUGAUGUGCGGGCCCCCGUGCAUGAUCCAGUAUGCCUGCCUGCCCAACCUGGACAGCGUGGGCCACCCCAAGGAGCGCUCCUUCGCCUUCUGAUGGGCGGGCCCGGGCUGGCUCCGCCCCACACUCACCGUGCCCUGUCUGCACCCACCCCUCCUGCUGUUGUCUGUUAACACCACUCUCCCCCACAUCUCCUGCUGCGGCCGGGUUCAGCCUGGCCUGCCCGUGCCUGGGAGGUCACCCCCCUGGGCUGGUCCCCAAGGGGCCCCUUUGGGAGCAGGGCUCUGUUACAGGUGGGCCGCUGUCAGCCACCUUUAGGGCAGAUUCCUGUCUGGGCCUCACUGGAGAUGCCCUUCCCCACCCCCUCCUGGCAGGGGCUGCUGGGUGAGAGGCUGCCUCGACCCCAGGGUACAGCAGGCCCGGCCAGCAGGGAAUUGCGCUCUCCCUGGAGCUGGAGUAGGAGGAGGGGGCUGGCCGAGGGCCCUUCCAGCUGGCACAUGGGCCCUCCCAAAGCCUCAGUAUUUCCCCAAAACACCCAAACAUUCGGGUAGCUUUGGAAGCUCCAAGCAGUCGACCUCUGAUUGACCAGCUUGGGGUCCCGGGCUGCCAGCCCUAAUGGCAGAGCUAAGACGAUGUAUUUAUCCCUCUGUCCCAGACCCCCAUUCUGCUGCCCUCACCCCAGAUGGGGGAGAUUUUGAGCAGAGCCUCUUGUCUGAGGGAUAUUCUCAGUGGCCUCGACGUUGCCUUUAGACCACAGCGUGUCGGCCUCUUGCAUAUCGGCUUUUUAGAGUCGUUUAUGAGCAAAUUGAAGUAAAAUUUUGCUAAUUUGGAAAAAAAAAGAAAACUAAUUAUAUUUGUAAAUAUUUUAAAGAAAUUCAUUUGUUGUUGAUUUCUAACUUAAUUCUCUUGAGAAUUCCUUAGAGAAUGUGGACUCUAAUACCAAGAAUUCUUGGGAAUUUGCGAAAAGUGUUUCAAGGUCUAGUACACUUUUUUUUUUUUGGCCUUAAGUCUAUUUGGUCUGAUAUUAAUAUAACUACAUGAGGUUUAUUUUGGUAUUGGUUAGCAUUAUUUUCCUUUUAACUGUGUUGUGUACUCAUAUUGCAGGUGUAUAUUUCACAAACAGGAUAUAGCUGGAUUUUGUAUCUUAAACUAGCAGGUUUGCUUCGUUUACAUUUAUUGUGAUUCCUAACAUUUGGAUUUAUUUCUACAACCUUAUUUUGCGGUUUCUAUGACACAGUAGGAAAAGCUGUGCAGUUUUAAGUGUUAUUAUUAAAAGAUUCUUAGCACACCUUGUAUUUAUCCCGCUUUUUCAUGCUCCUCUCUCCUUUCCUGUUGGUUUGUUAAAAUUUUCUUUAAACCGUUUCCCAACCACUGGUUUGGAAGUUAUACAAGAAUAUAUAGUUUUUUUAGACUUUAGUCCAUCUUCUUCCCAAACAGUAAAAAGACCUUGGGAGGUAUGGAUGCCAACUGCCUAUCUAUUUUGCAGGAUGCUGUCCAGAAUUUUAGUUGUAACUUAUGUUACUACUCAGACAUUACUAACUCAUCACUACCACUGCUUUAUAUAGUCAAUGACAGUUUAGAUAUUCCCAAUGUUUUCCAAGCUUUUUCAGCAAUCUUCCUCAAGUCUCUUUCCUUCCUCCUGCAUUGAAUCCUUUUUUGUUGUUGUUGUUGUUGGCGGUGUUGGGUCUUCGUUGCUGUGCACGGGUUUUCUCUAGUUGUGGA